rnacentral:rRNA from 1 species
GUGGGGAAUCUUGCGCAAUGGGCGAAAGCCUGACGCAGCCAUGCCGCGUGAAUGAUGAAGGUCUUAGGAUUGUAAAAUUCUUUCACUGGGGACGAUAAUGACGGUACCCGGAGAAGAAGCUCCGGCUAACUUCGUGCCAGCAGCCGCGGUACUACGAAGGGGGCUAGCGUUGCUCGGAAUUACUGGGCGUAAAGGGCGCGUAGGCGGACAGCUUAGUGAGAGGUGAAAGCCCAGGGCUCAACCUUGGAAUUGCCUUUGAUACUGGCUGUCUUGAGUUAGGGGGAGGUGAGUGGAACUCCGGGUGUAGAGGUGAAAUUCGUAGAUAUUCGGAAGAACACCAGUGGCGAAGGCGACUCACUGGCCCAAUACUGACGCUGAGGCGCGAAAGCGUGGGGAGCAAACAGGAUUAGAAACCCUGGUAGUCC